UCCCCUUCACCGAAAUAUGCAGCAAAGAAAGGGUUUUGAAGCUGGAAAAUUUCAGCAACAUAUUUCCCUUGCUUAUGAUGAAAAUUGAGACUUGGACCUAGAACGGAAAGAAAUUGAUUUAUGGACGAGUAUGUCCUUUUCACCUUUGUGGUAUCGAGAGUUUCCAGGUUAGCUCGGGUUGGAGGCCGUCAGAGAUAUUAUCACACUGUCAAGCUAACGCUAUUGGUGUAGUGAUUUCAAGUACUUUGAGCCUAUGGCAUGUAUAGGAGUUUAAAUAUUAGAGUAUGUGAUAUGGAUUUAACCAUAUGUGUUGGCCUAUUUUGAUUAUGGGGUUGUAAAUCUAUUUUAAUUAUGCAUGCAUGUGCUAUGGUAUUAUGUGAUGAGUUUAUAAUGAUUAUAGUAUGAA